CCUACGGGAGGCAGCAGUGAGGAAUAUUGGUCAAUGGGCGAGAGCCUGAACCAGCCAAGUCGCGUGAAGGAUGAAGGAUCUAUGGUUUGUAAACUUCUUUUAUAUGGGCAUAAAGUGAGGAACGUGUUCCUUUUUGUAUGUACCAUAUGAAUAAGCAUCGGCUAACUCCGUGCCAGCAGCCGCGGUAAUACGGAGGAUGCGAGCGUUAUCCGGAUUUAUUGGGUUUAAAGGGUGCGUAGGUGGUUAAUUAAGUCAGCGGUGAAAGUUUGUGGCUCAACCAUAAAAUUGCCGUUGAAACUGGUUGACUUGAGUAUAGUAGAGGUAGGCGGAAUGCGUGGUGUAGCGGUGAAAUGCAUAGAUAUCACGAAGAACUCCGAUGGCGAAGGCAGCUUACUAAACUAUAACUGACACUGAAGCACGAAAGCGUGGGGAGCAAACAGGAUUAGAUACCCGUGUAGUC
rnacentral:rRNA from 1 species